UACGAAGGGGGCUAGCGUUGCUCGGAUUGACUGGGCGUAAAGGGCGCGUAGGCGGUUCGUACAGUCAGACGUGAAAUUCCUGGGCUCAACCUGGGGGCUGCGUUUGAUACGUGCGGACUUGAGUGCGGAAGAGGGUCGUGGAAUUCCCAGUGUAGAGGUGAAAUUCGUAGAUAUUGGGAAGAACACCAGUGGCGAAGGCGACUACCUGGCCUGUUCUUGACGCUGAGGUGCGAAAGCGUGGGGAGCAAACAGG
rnacentral:rRNA from 1 species